AUUGAACGCUGGCGGCAGGCCUAACACAUGCAAGUCGAGCGGAUGCAGGGAGCUUGCUCCUGGAUUCAGCGGCGGACGGGUAAGUAAUGCCUAGGAAUCUGCCUGGUAGUGGGGGAUAACGUCCGGAAACGGGCGCUAAUACUGAUUACGUCCUGAGGGAGAAAGUGGGGGAUCUUGGGACCUCACGCUAUCAGCUGAGCCUAGGUCGGAUUAGCUAGUUGGUGGGGUAAAGGCCUACCAAGGCGACGUUCCGUAACUGGUCUGAGAGGAUGAUCAGUCACACUGGAACUGAGACACGGUCCAGACUCCUACGGGAGGCAGCAGUGGGGAAUAUUGGACAAUGGGCGAAAGCCUGAUCCAGCCAUGCCGCGUGUGCGAAGAAGGUCUUCGGAUUGUAAAGCACUUUAAGUUGGGAGGAAGGGCGGUAAGUUAAUACCUUGCUGUUUUGACGUUACCAACAGAAGAAGCACCGGCUAACUUCGUG
rnacentral:rRNA from 1 species